UCCUGGUCGGACAUCAGGAGGUUAGUGCAAUGGCAUAAGCCAGCUUGACUGCGAGCGUGACGGCGCGAGCAGGUGCGAAAGCAGGUCAUAGUGAUCCGGUGGUUCUGAAUGGAAGGGCCAUCGCUCAACGGAUAAAAGGUACUCCGGGGAUAACAGGCUGAUACCGCCCAAGAGUUCAUAUCGACGGCGGUGUUUGGCACCUCGAUGUCGGCUCAUCACAUCCUGGGGCUGAAGUAGGUCCCAAGGGUAUGGCUGUUCGCCAUUUAAAGUGGUACGCGAGCUGGGUUUAGAACGUCGUGAGACAGUUCGGUCCCUAUCUGCCGUGGGCGCUGGAGAACUGAGGGGGGCUGCUCCUAGUACGAGAGGACCGGAGUGGACGCAUCACUGGUGUUCGGGUUGUCAUGCCAAUGGCACUGCCCGGUAGCUAAAUGCGGAAGAGAUAAGUGCUGAAAGCAUCUAAGCACGAAACUUGCCCCGAGAUGA
rnacentral:rRNA from 1 species